UGGGGAAUAUUGCACAAUGGGCGCAAGCCUGAUGCAGCCAUGCCGCGUGUAUGAAGAAGGCCUUCGGGUUGUAAAGUACUUUCAGCGGGGAGGAAGGUGUUGUGGUUAAUAACCUCAGCAAUUGACGUUACCCGCAGAAGAAGCACCGGCUAACUCCGUGCCAGCAGCCGCGGUAAUACGGAGGGUGCAAGCGUUAAUCGGAAUUACUGGGCGUAAAGCGCACGCAGGCGGUCUGUCAAGUCGGAUGUGAAAUCCCCGGGCUCAACCUGGGAACUGCAUUCGAAACUGGCAGGCUAGAGUCUUGUAGAGGGGGGUAGAAUUCCAGGUGUAGCGGUGAAAUGCGUAGAGAUCUGGAGGAAUACCGGUGGCGAAGGCGGCCCCCUGGACAAAGACUGACGCUCAGGUGCGAAAGCGUGGGGAGCAAACA
rnacentral:rRNA from 1 species